GAAAACUCUUGGCACAAUUGCUUUAUGACAUUGUAUUUUGUUGAAAGAUGAAGGAGAGAGUGAAGUGACUAUCUGGGGACCCUGAGGAAGUCCCUAAGAUUCUGUUGACAAAGGAAUCUGAGUGCAGGAAGCACGUGGCUUGCCUACCCAGCUCAAGUCUUAUGAAGAGUACAGGUGUUGACAGUUUCUGAAGACAGAGCAGAGGAGGCUCUGGACCUGAUGUCUAUUUGAUGGCAGAAGAGAAUGAUAUUUAAUUUUUCUCAUUUUCACACUGAUCACAAAACACACACGCAAUUCAUGAAACUGAAGGCAGAGAAGAACUUCCAAAAGCACUGGGCUGAAGAGAUACCAUGGAUAAAGAUGUGAUGCAUGGACAUCAGCUAGUAUGUAUAAAAAAUUCUGCCAUUUGUUGGGUUUUAUUGGUGCCAUAAGAGCAAUCAAUGGGUUACAUAAACACUUUAUAUAUUUGUAAUGGAAGUGCUCUGAACCAAAUAUGCUAAAUUCACUGUGGGGUCAAAUAUUUCCAGCUGCAUGUGCUCUACUGCAUGUACUUUGCACAUAAUUUGAACCAUGUGCUUUUGAGUGUGUAUAAUGUAUAACAUAUUUAUUCUUAAAAACAAGAAGAUUUGCCCCUAUUUACUACAAUUCAGCCAACUACAAGUUAGAGAUUGUAAAACUGGAAGUUUCAGAUUCCUCCUUUCAUGUCCAUAAAAGCAAUUGCUUUAUGGAAAUGAAAUUAUCUUCCAGAGAGGGGAGAGCUCGUGGGUGACACAGACGCCUUUUGGGACUGGGCUCAGGUCAGGCCAGCCACAGCCUGAUGGUGUCCAAGGAUUAGGAUUUGGCCCUCUGGCUAUUAGGGUGAAGACAUCCAUGUCAUUGGGAUGACGAAUGUCAUUGAGAAUGGGCAGACCAGUGUGCUGUUUUCUGUGCCAGUCUACAAGGUAGGGUUGGGAACCAUUGGUGGGGGCCUGUGUGACACGUCCAUUUCUGCUGUUUCGGUUUGUGGAAAUGACGCCCCUGCACGUUCUUGAUUUCUCUUCUCCAUGAAUGAACACAGUCAGGUGAAAACACUGUGACUCUGAAGUUAAACAGAUAUGUGUUUUAAUCCCAGCUUUGCCUCUAUGUGACGUUCGUCCACUCAUCUAAUUUGUGUGAAACCUGUUCUCUUCCGACUAAAUCAGUGUUCAUGACAACAAUCUUGCAAGAUUGUCAAGUGCAUUAUCAACAAUGUACAUGAAGUAGUUGGCAUGGUGUGGUUGUUCUAUAAAUUGUAGUAAUUAUUGCUUUUUAAAUUAAAGCAGGUAAAUAAAUAAGGA
rnacentral:lncRNA from 10 species